GUGUACCAGUUAUCGUGCCCACGGUAAACACUGGAUAGCCAAGUGCGGAGCGGAUAACUGCUGAAAGCAUCUAAGUAGUAAGCCCACCCCAAGAUGAGUGCUCUCCUAUUCCGACUUCCCCAAAGCUUCCGAUAGCACAGCCGAGACAGCCUCGGCUAACUCUGUGCCAGCAGUCGUGGUAAGACAGAGGAUGCAAGCGUUAUCCGGAAUGAUUGGGCGUAAAGUGUCUGUAGGUGGCUUUUUAAGUCCGCCGUCAAAUCCCAGGGCUCAACCCUGGACAGGCGGUGGAAACUACCAAGCUGGAGUACGGUAGGGAAGGAGUUCUCACUUGCAAAUUCUAGAAAACCCCAAACCAAAAAGAUCUACUCCUUACUCAAGUUCCCAGUGAAGACCAUUCAUUGAUUCCGCC
rnacentral:rRNA from 1 species